CAGUUGCAAGCUACGGGAAAAAAACAGGUAGUCUCUCACUUUGCUGAUGGAAAUGUAGACUGGAACAAUCUAAGGAAGGAAAUUUAGCAAUAUUUAUUAAAAUUCUAAAUGCUUAUGCCCCUUGACCCAGCAGCCCCAUUGUGGGAAUUUAUCCUGCAGCAUAGCUUGAACACAUUCAAAAUAAUGUAUUUUCAAGGUUGUUAAUUGCAGCAUUGUUUGUAAUAGCAUAUAAUAUUAGAAAUAAUUCAUGUCCAUCCAUCUAUAGAGUGAAAUUUUGUGUAGUUGUAUAUAUUAAAAAAAAAAGGAAUGAAGACAUUCUCUAUAUGCAGAUAUAGAAAGAUCUCCAAUUUGUACUGGUAAGUGAAAGGAAAAUGCAGAAAAAUGUUUGUACAAAGGAGGGUCACAGAAAUAUUCAUAUUUGAUUAUAUUUGCAUAUAAAAACUCUGGAAGAACACACAACCUAACAAUGGCAGUCACCUUUGAUAGUGGUAGGUAGAAACUAGACGGAGGGACAGGGAUAGAAGCAAGAUUCUUUAUCAAAUACAUUUUUUUGUUUCCUUAUUAAAUCAUUUGAAUGUGUUUUCUACUUUUGAAAAAUAAAAAUUUUUAAAAACAUUGCAAAAUACCUUAAAUUGUCCAUAAAGUACAGAACAUGAGGUUUCAUACAUAUGAUCCUAUUCCAUAAUGUUUAUGCAGACUAAGGUUUGAGAACAACUUGACUAAAAUAAGGAACAAAGUUUAAGUUGCUAUGGAGGUGUUAAGUAUUGAAAUCAUUCUCCUUUAACAUGCCUGCCAAACUCCUGGCUGGGAGUGGGUGAGAAUUCUAAAAAGCACCUGCUUGCCUGGAGGGAUUAGACUAAUCUAAUACUAAGCCUCCAGAACAAACCUGUUUGUUGUGAGAAUUAAAGGAAAUGAAGGAGUUCCCAUUUCAAUGCAGGUUCAAGUUUAUGGGUAAGUUAAAUAUGCAGAUGAUGGGACUCCAUGAUAUGGUUGGUGGUGAUAUUUUCUAAACUGUGCCAGGCCAGGGUACAUGAUCUGAAAAGUGCAGCUGUACCCAUUGAGACACUAGGAGGUCCUGUCUAACAUCUGUGCUGUCCUAGGGAAUUCUAGGAGUGAUGGUUAACAUCAUGUAUGGUUUUCAGAGUGAGGGAUGUGGAGGUGACCAAAGUCAGAAAUCUUGAAUUACACUACAUUGGUACUGCCUUUUAUUUAUCUCCCAAGAUGCAGUACAACACAAAUAACUCAUUGGGCCUACAAAAAAAGGAAAAAAAAACUGAGAAGAAAGAAACAUUGAGAAUGCAUUCCAAUCCACUUAUCACAUCAUUGAAGGGAAAGUGCACUUUGGAGGACAGGAACAUUUUUACAUGGAAACUCAAAGUGAAAGUGAAGUGGCAAAGGCAGAGGAUUAAAACAUGGACCUCUAUGUGUCAUGCCAGGAUGCAGCAUUUACACAGGUGGCCAGCCAUGAAUUAAAGAUACCAGUAUCUUCCAUAUACCUUGGAAUGAUGAAUACCAUGACAGUGCCCAGCACAAUUCCCAUGGCAGCCUCUACUAGUGCAGAUGCCAGUGGAAAAGCUGUGCAGUUCUAUUGGACAGCCCUGCUCUGGACAAUCCUACUGCAUCUUGACCUGAGAAAAAAAGAUAAGAGUCAGCCUCGCUGGCAGUUAGUUAGUGGCUGUAGGAGGCCAGGAAAGGAGAUCCACACUUUGGUUGCUUAAAAAAAGAGAAGAGAAGAGGGGAGAAGGGAGGGGAAGGGAGAAAAAAUAGCAAAGGAAGCAAUGUCUCCAUUGGUUUGGGCUGCUAUAACCAAGUACCAGAGGAGACUGGGUAAGCUUAAACAACAGACAUUUAUUUCGCACAGUUCUAGAGGGCUGAAAACCCCAAGAUCAAGGUGCCAGCAGGUCUUCUGUCAGGUGAAGGCUGCCUCCUGGUUCAUGGAGAGCUGUCUUCAUGCUGUCUUCACAUGGUGGAAGGGGUGAGGGAGCACUCUGGGUUCUCUUUUAUAAAAAAGCACAAAUCCCAUUUGUGUGGGCUCCACCCUCAUGGACUAUUGAGGGCCCCACCUUCCAAUACUAUUACCUUAAGAUUUAUGAUCUCAACAUAUAAAUUUGGGGGAGACACAUUCAGUCUCUAUAACAGUCUCUAAACCUCAUUCAUCCCUCAAUCCCUCAAGUUGCCCCCCCUCCCUGAAUCCUCCUAAUGACUCAGCCAGACUGACUGGCCCACAUCGGCCUCCCUGUUAUAUUUGUGUUCUGAACAACACCGUUUAAUAGUUUGGUUCAGCUCCACAAACAUAGUCUAUGUGCCCAAUCCAUGUGAAGUGCUGUGCUGGGGCAAGAGAGAACCAUCCAAAGGACGUAAGUCCUGGCCCCAAGAAGGCCACUAUCUGGUGGAAAAACAGAAACAGGCAAUGGCCAUACAAUCUUCCCAGUGCCAGGGACUACAUACUGAGGGAGCACCAAGGACUGAGAGAUGUUUGCUCACUCAGAGUGUUUCUAAUUCUCUCUUGUCCCCAGCUAGGUUACAAGCUUUAGAACCAGCAGCAUGUCUUAUUUCUUCUUCCUCCAUCACCGAGCUUCAAUACUCAGAAGAUGCUGACUGAAUGGAAAAGGUUUGAGUGACAUGGUAGCUUUAAAAUCAGAUGACUGGAUUCAAAUCCCAGCUCUGCCAGUUAAACCAGCUGUUAAGUUGGGCAAGUUUUUGACCUAUCUAUGCCUUAGAUUCCGCAUUUAUCAGACAGAGAAAGUAGGGUACCUACCUAGUAGAGCCCCUAUAUUAAGUGAGCUUAACUGUAAAAGUGUUUAACACAGGGCAGGGGCACAUGUUGACAACAAAAUGAAUGUUAACAAUGGUUAUUAUCAUGACCAUGAUGAUUACUGGCCAGCUAAUCCUUAUGUCUUCUGAUUCUUCUAGUCUACACUACCAUCAUGGAGAAGUGAGCAGGGGAAGAUGUUUGAAUGAGUCACGGUGGCAGAAAAAGCUGCCCGAAGUUUGGCAGGAUGUUAUAAACACUAACCAACCCAUUAUUCCAAUUUAGUGUCAGCAGAAACCCUUUAGCUACUAGGCGUGCUCAAACCUGACCUGGUUCAACAAUGAUCCAUCUUAAGAUGCAGGUGAAAAAACUUCAUACAGUUCUUGAUGCAUAAAGGUAUGUGGCAAUCAAUCAGUAAUUGUAUUGCAGUAGUUUUUGUGAUUUAAACUGCUAAACUCAUUCUUCAAGAUCUAAGGCAAAAGAGGGGAGCAGAAAGCAGGCUGAGAUGUAUAAAGCAUUCAUGUAUUUAUUGAACAAAGUUUUAGGGAGCAACUAAAAGUUGUGGCCAGGCAUUUAAGAAAUGGUGAAAUUAAGUCCCAGAUCCCACCUUGUGAAGCUUAUAAUUGAAUUGAAUUAUAUAUGGUCUUAUGAAAGCAACACAAGUUAAAAAGAUGCAGCCCAGAUGUAGUCCUGUAGAAGGUGAGGAGAAGAUGACAUCCCAGUUAAUGGUAAGAUCUAAACAAAGGGGCACAAAAGAAAAGCAAUCCCAGGUGGAUGAAAAUGCAGAAGCUAAGGAUGGAGGUCAGAAGAGAUCCAGAUAUUUAUCAGAACAUAGAUAAUUUUGUUUGGCUGGAGGUAGACAAGGGGAUAAAUCUGGAUAGAAAACUGGAAAACUAGCCUGGAUCAGAUCAUAGAUACUCUUAAAUAUAAGUUAACAAGUUCAAGUUUUAUUCUGUCCACAGUGAAGACUUCUGAUGGUUUUUAUCAAAGAAAUUACAUAAUCAGGGAGAUUUACUCUGGUGGAAGGUAUAGCAUGAAUUAACAUGAGAGAUAACAGUUGGAAAGCUACUGAUGGGGUCCAGAGCAGGCUGCCCCAAAAUGUGCCACUCUGACCCUUCUCUGUACACCUCAAAGCAGGAAAUAAAUUUUUCUUAUGAAGGGUGCACUUUCUACACCUGGAGAGUAGAAGGCAUCUUUAUCACCAGAGAGAGAGAAUUCAGGACUGAGAAAAUUGUAUAAACAAACCUUGUUACUUCAUUAAUUUGCUACCCGAAGUCCAAACUUUUGUCUUGUUAACUCUUCAUAAAUUUCUUCUAAAAGGUAUAAAAAGCUGCUGACUUUGGUCACUUCUUUGAAUCCAAUAUUUCUAUGAGCUCCCAUACAUGCAAAAUUAAAAUCUUUUUCUCCUGUUAAUCUGUCUUGUUUAAUUAUUUGACCAGCCAAAGAACCUAGCAGGAAAAAAGGGAAGUUUUCCUCCCCUACACUGCUGUAAUAGUCCAGAGGUGACAAAGGCUUGAGCACCCACAGUGCUGGCAGGAAUAGAAAGAGAUUCAAGCAACAGCCCCUGCCCUCUGACAGGGCGGGGUAGACACGGCAGAAGUCAAAGGUAAGUCUAAGUUUGUACUCAGGUGACUGGGGGAAAGUGGUAACCUUACCAGAAACAGCAACACAGGAGGAGGAGCCUGCUUUCAAAGGAAAGGUGAAUUUGAUUUUAGAUUUAUAGCCUGGUUGUCAGCCAAGGGAUUUACCCAACAGACAGUUAAUUCAGGAUUGGCAAGAGGUCUGGGCUGCAGACAGAUUUAGGAGUCAUGCGUGUAAUUAGUAAUCAGAGCCAUGAGACUGGAUAAAACUCACCAGAGUGUGAAACUGCAGAGAGGGAAUUAAAAGGAAAAUGUAGAAGGGGAGGAGAGAGAUGGAAAGAGAAGAAAAUAAGAAGGAAGGAGAAAGGAAGGAAUGAGUCAAGGACAGCUCAGGGAAGGAGUAGGGGCUGAGGGUAGGAGUAGGGGCAGGAAGCACUAACCGCCUUGAAACUAAGGGUGGAGUGAUGCGGCUCUGUGCACACAGUCAUAGCAGGAGCACCCCCUCAGACACAGCCCAGCUUGCCAGAGGGAAGCGGUUACCAUUAGCAAGAUUCUAAAGGCCCUGAGAAGUCCCUUACUUUAUGCCCCCCCACCCCACUCCCAUACACACCUACUUUAAAACCCUUUCCUCUAUUGGCCUGAAACCACACAAUCAUAUUAACCCUGGCUUGGAUGAAGACGCUCCAAAGCCUCUUGUUAAUGUGCCCCCAAAUCUAGGGGUGCUCAGUGGCCGGAUGGAGCCUGGAGUCCUCUUGGCUCUCGCUGUCCCUUGCUCUUACCACACCCGUAAGGCUACCACAAUGGCAACUGGCCAUUCUGACCCAGGUUCUCCUGGUGCCCAAACACCCCACCUCACCCAUCAGUCGGAGCCCGCCAAGGCGGGGCGCCUAGUGCCCAGGCGGGAUCAAUGCGUGCCCAGAAACAUUUCUGCUCAGUUCAACUGACACUUGUCGCUGCCACGAGGAUCCACGAACAGUCUGCUCUUUCGGAGAAAGUCCAAGGGAACGCAGUCCGUCCCUCCCACCACACCAGCUUGGGGAGGAGGAUCCUUGAGGCUAGGACACCGACCCCAUGUGGGGAGGGGAGGCAAUCAAGCAUGUGGAGGCCCAUGUGCACCCACAUGCACAGGUGCCCUACGCAGAAACCAUGGCUGUUGGGCACACACGGCCAGCGCCAUUGACCUGACCGGGUGGCGCCGCCUCCCCUACUUGCUAUGCCAGCUCUGGGCCAAGCAGUGGCCCGCUCUCAGGGACCAGACUGGGUGGUGGUGAGGCCCAGUGGCGGCCACUCCUCGGAGCUGCCCCCAGGACAUCCUUGUGAAGAGCACCCCUGACCUGUCUUUGAGGUCUGUCACCGCAAGGAGAAAAGGGUGGCAUUUAUCCUUGUGCAAAGAGAGUUUAAGUUAAAUAUGUUCAGGCCAUUCGGACUGUUUUCUACAGUACAUUCAGUAUCUCUUGGGAAGCAUCUUGGUAGGAAACAGAAACUGAAAAUUGUACAUGACAGGAGCCAAGGAAUACAUUGCAUAAAGAAAAGUGCCUCAAAUAGCUUCAGAUGUUUCUUGAACCCCUUUGUUGAACUUUCAGAAACUCAGAGUAAAUAUUAUGCAAUUCAUUUGUGUUUUAAUGAUGCAAAUGCCAACGAAUGUAUAUUCUUUCAAGAAAUGGAUUUUUCUUCAUCUAGUGCCUGCUCAAUGCAGGUAAAAGGAGUUUAAUUGAAACAGAUACCCGGUUUCCCAAGUGUAGGAAAGGUGUAUCUCCUUCCUUGAGACUGAGCAAGGAGAAAACCUUGGCAGUGUUCAUUUGAGGAUCUUCUCACCAGCAGCCUGGCCUCCCUGAGAAUACUGGACAAAGUAUUUCACUAUUGCAGAAGGGCUGUCCUAAUUUCCGGUGUAUUCGUUUGGUAUGCUCUGUACAGAACAAGGUGGUGGGCUGGACCUAGGAAAUCAAUAAAGAAGAACCUGGAAGGAAUAGCCUGAAGAGCUGGAGCUGCCCAGGAAGAAUGCAGGUGCCCUCACCACUGCAGUCAUGGAGUGUGGUCCUGCAGAGAGAAUGAAGCUACCAAAGAGAACACAAAUACAGGAUGCUCAGAUUAAACAAAACCACAGCAUCAAGAAAUCUUUUUCAUUAGAAAGUUAAAGAGACAUCCAGAAAGCUGCAAAGCAAAUUGGAGAGAUGCCAAGACUUCAGUAGAAAUCACUGAUAGAGAUUUCAUACUUAAUGACUUUUCUUUGAGCAAGUGCAAAAGCAAAAAGCAAAAGAACUGUGGUGAACACUGUGAGCCGUUAAGUAUAGUAGGAUGUAUGGUAGGACUCAUAGCAGGACAAAAACAACAUAGGUCAUACAGAAGAGGGUCUGGAAAAAAUACAGAUUAUUCUCAGCCACACUGCAUAGGCUUAUCAUUAGAAGGAAGAACAAGAAAUCAAUAGCAGACCCACUCUAAAAUCUUAACUAUAAAGAUCUCAUUAUAGUAUGGAUUUAGUCAUUCAUUAAAAAAAAAUCUUUAUAAUGUCAUAGCUGAACAAGGCGUGGUGCUAGACAUUGGAGACAUAUAGUUAACAAGACAAAUAUAGACCCUGCCCACAUAGAGUUUAUGAUCCAAUGGAAGAGUUGACAUUAAGUAAACACACAAAUGUCAUCUCAGUCUUUGAUAAGUGCUCCAAAGGAAUACAAAGUGGUCAGUGAAGAUAUUGAGGGCUUUUAGAUUUGAGGGUCAGACAGUUUUCUGAGAGAGCAACAGUAAUGACAUUCCUUAAAGGAUAAGGAGGCAUUACUGGGGAAAGAACAGCAGCUGAUGGUGCUGGGGAAUAGCACACUUGAAGGCUCUGGGGUGGAAAAUGAGGGGUGUGGUCCAAGAGCUGGGAUGUCUUUGCAAGGAGCAUCGUCAGUGGGAUGGAGAGUCUACAUGGGGCAAGGCCAGACCCCCAGACUGUGUGGGCCAUAUUAGCAUCUUGUUUUUUCCCCCCAAAUACAGGGCAAGUCACUGAAGGGCUUUAGGCACACACAAUUGACAUUGAUGUAUUUAUGUUUAUGUUUUAAUGGGUCAAUCCAGUUGCAUUGUGGAACACAAGUUUGAGGGACUUGAAUGGAAAAGGGAAGUCCAUUUGGGAAGUGUUUGACCUGGUCAUUAGAGUAAAGGCUGUGGUGGGCACAACCAAAUAUAAAGAGUCCUGUAUCAGGCCCUAGAAGUCUCAUAUCUCUCUAGGUGCUCUGUAUGCUACAACGUGGCCCCCAAAUCAUAGGAGCCCAUAUGAAGUAGAAAUCCUCAAGCAGUAAAACUUUUAUUUGGAUUAAAUUUAGCCAAAUGAAAAGAUGUCAAGAAUAACAGAAGUUUGUGAAAAGAAUGGGUUUGUGAAAAGAAUGAGUUUGACCCACUGAAAUAAGCAGCUGGGAAUGUGAGCUGUGAAAUGAUUGUGCUGAUGUGCUGGCAUUUGAAGAGUUUGCCUGGAUGCAAGACAAUUGAGCAAUAGAGGAGUUAGAUGAAGAUCAAAUUACUGUACAGAUUUUAUUAAAAGCAAAGUUGGAGAUUUGGCUUAGGUCUAUUGGCAAGUAGAGUUGCAAAUGUUUCAGCCCUGAAUUUAGCCAUUCCCAAUAGAUUGUAGUAGGCUGUGUGAUUGCAGGAGGCAAUACAGGAUGGAGUCUGUUUUGAGGGUUUUUGUUUUUGUUGGUUCCUUCCUCUGUAAAUAUUGAAAAUUGUAUUUUACAAUGGUACUGGAACAAACAUACAACCCAACCUCAUUUAUAUUCAUUUUUUUCUUCUGAUUUUAAAAGAAAAACAUUUUCAUGGACCCCUAAACUGGGAGGGAUAUGCCAGCAGCCCACCAGAUGUCAGAAUUCAGGAAUUGCAGGUAGAUGGGUCCUGAGAUAGAGGAGGGGGACUUAAGCUGGGAAGUGCCAAUAACAGAUACUGUCACUCUCACAGGGUCCACCCAAUGGAACCUGACUGUUUGUCCCUCCAACAAAGUAUACUAGGAUCCAAAUAAAUGUUCUGGUUCUGGGUGA